rnacentral:rRNA from 1 species
UACAGAGGGUGCGAGCGUUAAUCGGAAUUACUGGGCGUAAAGCGUGCGUAGACGGUAGCGUAAGUCAGAUGUGGAAGCCCCGGGCUCAACCUGGGAAUGGCAUUGAGACUGCUCUGCUCGGGUGCGGAAGAGGGAAGCGGAAUUUCCGGUGUAGCGGUGAAAUGCGUAGAUAUCGGAAGGAACACCAGUGGCGAAAGCGGA